GAUGAAGAACGUAGCGAAAUGCGAUACUUGGUGUGAAUUGCAGAAUCCCGUGAACCAUCGAGUCUUUGAACGCAAGUUGCGCCCGAAGCCAUUAGGCCGAGGGCACACCUGCCUGGGCGUCACACGUCGUUGCCCCCCCAUCUACUCCUUCGGGAUUGCGGGGGGCGGAUGAUGGCCUCCCGUGCGCCUCGUCGCGCGGUUGGCAUAAAUGCCAAGUCCUCGGCGACGCACGCCACGACAAUCGGUGGUUGCGAAACCUCGGUUGCCCGUCGUGUGCGGUCGUCGCGCAUCGAGGGCUCGAAAAAAUUGCCGAGUUCCGGCUCGGCUUUCAACGCGACCCCAGGUCAGGCGGGGUUACCCGCUGAAUUUAAGCAUAUCAAUAAGCGGAGGA
rnacentral:misc_RNA from 1 species